AGCCUGGCCACCCUAUGGACCACCCCAGUCGUAAUUGCCUUUUUGGGGCAUUUUUUCUUGGGCAGAAUAAUGUUGUUCUUUUUUUAUAAAAGCGGAACCGUUUCUGUAAUGUAUAUGUGCCAAGCCAGCCUCCACUUCCAAAUACACGGUCAAGCUAGCCCCCGCGUUGUUUGGAAGCAGGCCACCACAAUUGUCUCUGAAAAACAAGUUCAAGACAUUGGUGGGUUCAUUUUCCUGAAACUCACAUGCAUGUACCCCAGGAUAAGGGAUAAGAGUUUGUGGAUCCUUGGUGACAACGUACAAUGUUUAGAGUUGAGUGGUUCUGCAGUAAUGUUGAACUGGAGAUGUUAGCUAUACACUGCCAUGCUAUGCUAGCAGACCUGUUGCUAAUGGGUAGCACACACAGUACAAUAGAAAUGCUAAUGAGACACGUGAAAGGGGUUGUUUUGUUUUGUUAACCUACCUGAAAAUGCAUACAGUGUCAAUGCAUAUAGCUCACAUUCUGUUAAGCAGUUUUCCUGUGUAUGUGUGUUUGUUAUUAACUUUAGACAAGAUGUAAAUACAGUAAUUUGUGAAUGUGUGACAAAGGAGUAGGAGUAAUAUGAGAGGUAAAUUUAAUAGUUACCCACUGUAAGGUUGUGUAUUAUGGUUUGAUAUGCAAAGUAUUUACAUAUGCUAUGGUUACUUAUGUACUUUCUGAAAAUAUGGUGAUA